GCUCAACCGGGGAGGGUCAUUGGAAACUGGGAAACUUGAGUGCAGAAGAGGAGAGUGGAGUUCCACGUGUAGCGGUGAAAUGCGUAGAGAUGUGGAGGAACACCAGUGGCGAAGGCGACUCUCUGGUCUGUAACUGACGCUGAGGAGCGAAAGCGUGGGGAGCGAACAGGAUUAGAUACCCUGGUAGUCCACGCCGUAAACGAUGAGUGCUAAGUGUUAGGGGGUUUCCGCCCCUUAGUGCUGCAGCUAACGCAUUAAGCACUCCGCCUGGGGAGUACGGUCGCAAGACUGAAACUCAAAGGAAUUGACGGGGGCCCGCACAAGCGGUGGAGCAUGUGGUUUAAUUCGAAGCAACGCGAAGAACCUUACCAGGUCUUGACAUCCUCUGACAACCCUAGAGAUAGGGCUUUCCCUUCGGGGACAGAGUGACAGGUGGUGCAUGGUUGUCGUCAGCUCGUGCCGUGAGAUGUUGGGUUCAGUCCCGCAACGAGCGCAACCCUUGUCGUCAGUUGCCAGCACGUAGAGGUGGGCACUCUGGCGAGACGGCCGGUGAAAGCCGGAGGAAGGUGGGGAUGACGUCAAAUCAUCAUGCCCCUUAUGUCCUGGGCUACACACGUGCUACAAUGGCCGGUACAACG
rnacentral:rRNA from 1 species